UACAGAGGUCUCAAGCGUUGUUCGGAUUCAUUGGGCGUAAAGGGUGCGUAGGUGGCGCCAUAAGUCAGGUGUGAAAUCUCGGAGCUCAACUCCGAAACUGCACUUGAUACUGUGGUGCUUGAGUACUGGAGAGGAGAUUGGAAUUUACGGUGUAGCAGUGAAAUGCGUAGAUAUCGUAAGGAAGACCAGUGGCGAAGGCGAAUCUCUGGACGGUUACUGACACUGAGGCACGAAGGCCAGGGGAGCAAACGGG
rnacentral:rRNA from 1 species